GUCCUGAAUCCGAACAAAGGAAAGGAUGAAGGAUCUUUGGUCUUUGUGUGUGUUGAUCUUAAUAUUCUACCGUCAAGGUCCUAAGGGACCAUAGGAGGUUUCAGGGAGGCUGACCUUUACGAACGGAUACACAAGGAUGCCAC